CAGGAAAAAGACUUGAUAGAAGGCUGCAUGAGUGGUCAGAAGUCAGUGGUAUUGGCAAGGUACGAAGCACCUUCUCAUGGUUAACUUUGUGAAUUCUUUAUAGGGGCAUGACAGGUGAUAGUUAUUUUUAAUCUUGUAAUGGUAACAAAGUGGGGUUACUUUGAUCUUCAGUAUUGUAUCCAUUUUUCUUAUUUACCGGUCUCCAUGUACCUUGCUCUAUCAGCACAUGAAUAUGUUGAAUCUGUGAUAUGAAACUUCCAAAAAUUAGUUGAAGGAAAAGUUCCGGAGGGUAGGUUUCAAAAACCCGAACGUGCCUCUCCUUGGCUUCCUAACUACUCCCCGUUGAUCCUCUUUCUCCAACCCCUCUCUCCUUCUUUCACCCAACCCAACUCAAAUGUAAGUUCAUCCUAUUCCACCUGUCCUGUUGUAGUUGCUACUGUACAUCCUAAGAUUCUACUCUUAAGAUUCUACAUCAGCCAGAUUCCCUUUUUCUUUUGCAUUUUCUACCUACUCCCAACUAAAGAAUUUUGGCCAUUGCUUUCCCCAUAUCAUAAUUUCCAUACUGAGAGAGAGAGAGAGAGAGAGAGAGAGAGAGAGAGAGAGAGAGAGAUUGGUUUUCUUGUUCCUUCUGCUAUUCUGCCGAUGCACUUGCAGUUGAUGAAACACUUCUUACUCUACCCAAGCAGUUAUCUUUAGGCCUGCAAUGAGGCAAGUACGCAAGGAGUUUGCCUUUCAAGCCUGCAAAACACAAGAAAUAAGCAUUAAGUAAUCAACCAAAAAAGUGAAGUACCAAAAAGCAGACAGGAAGGAGAAAAAGAAAGCUUUUGCAAAUUUGACUCACUCGUAAUCUAGAAGAAAAUAAUGAAGAAAGAUAGAUAUUUCUAGCUUGGCAAGAUCAUUUCCUGGGGACAAUCUGCUUCCCCCUCCAAAAGGAAGGAAAGGUCAUGCUUUGGGUGCAAGACCCUAAAGAUCAGGAAGGAAAAAGCAAAUAAAAGGAUAACAAAAUAACAAUAACAACCCAGUGUAUUCCCACAAGUGACGUCUGGGGAGGGUAUGAUGUACGCAACCUUACCCCUACCCUGGAAGGGUAGAGAGACUGUUUUCGGUAGACCCCCUUCUAAAAGAAAGGAUGGAAGGAGCACUGAUAGCAAGUAAUAACAAUACAAGAUAUUUAGAAAACUAAAUCCAAGAUAGCAAAGGAGAAGAUGAAAGAAGUUUUGAUAGCAAGUAAUAACAGUGCGAGAUAUGUAGUGAUAGCAAACUAAGGGAGUACUGAUGGCAAGUAAUAACAGUACAAGAUAUGUGGUAAUAACAAACUAAGGAUAAAAGGGAUACCAUACUAACACUAAUACUAUUGAACUAAGGAAGACAAAGGGAAACACUCAACUAUCUCUAAACCUUUACCCUAAUUCUUGACCUCCACACCCUCCUAUCAAGAGUCAUGUCCUCGGUUAGCUCAAGCUGUGCCAUGUCCCGUUUGAUCACCUCUCCCCAAGGCUUCUUUGGCCUACCUCUACCCUUCCUCUUAUCCCCAAAGGCCAACCUCUCACACCUCCUAACUGGGGCAUAUGUGUUUCUCCUUUUAACAUGCCCGUACCAUCUCAGCCUCGCCUCUCACAUCUUUUCCUCCACAUGGGCCACUCCCACCUUGUCCCGAAUAACUUCAUUCCCAAUUCUAUCUAACCUUGUAUGUCAACACAUCCAUCUCAACAUCCUCAUUUUAGCUACUUUCAUCUGCUGGAUAUGGGAGUUCUAAACUGGCCAGCACUCUGCCCCAUAGAACAUAGUCGGUCUAACCACUACCUUGUAGAACUUACCUUUAAGUUUUAACGACAUAUUCUCAUCGCACAGGACACCGGAAGCGAGCUUCCAUUUCAUCCACCCUGCUCCGAUACGAUGUGUGACAUCCUCAUAAAUCUCCCCAUCACUCUGUAUCACAGACCCCAUGUACUUUAAACUCUCUCUUGGGAAUGACUUGCGUAUCAAGCCUCACAUCCCCGUCUGCUUCCUGAGUAACACCGCUGAACUUGCACUCUAACUAUUUUGUCUUGGUCCUGCUCAACUUGAAACCUUUAGACUCAAGGGUAUGUCUCCAAACCUCCAGCCUCUCGUUAACACCACCACGUGUCUUAUCAAUCAGAACUAUGUCAUCUGCAAAUAACAUGCACCAAGGCACCUCCCCUCGAAUGAGUCGCGUCAAUGCGACCAUUGCCAACGAAAACAAAAACGGGCUAAGUGCUGAUCCCUGAUGCAACCCCAUUUCAAUUGGGAAGUAUUCAGAGUCUCCUCCUGCUGUCCUUACCCGUGUCUUAGCUCCAUCAUAUGUGUCCUGAAUCACUCGAAUAUACGCUACAAACAUUUCCUUAGCCUCCAAACAUCUCCAUAGAACCUCUCUCGGGACUUUGUCAUAAGCUUUCUCUAGGUCAAUGAAUACAUAUGCAAGGCCUUCUUCAUCACCCUAUACUGCUCCACCAAUUUCCUCACCAGGUGGAUGGCUUUAGUAGUCGAUCGUCCCCGGCAUGAAACCAAACUGGUUCGCGAAAAUGGACACACUCCUUCUCAUCCUCCCUUCUAUCACCUUCUCCCAAACUUUCAUCGUAUGGCUCAACGACUUGAUAUCCCCCUAUAGUUGUUGCAGUUUUGGAUAUAUCCCUUGUUCUUGUACAACGGAACCAUCGUACUCCACCUCCACUCUUCAGGCAUCUUCUUCGUCCUAAAAUGACGUUAAACGACCUAGAGAGCCAUCAAAAAAGAGUAACAAAUAGGAAAAGUAAGAACGUUUAUACUUUCUAAUUAGUGGUUGGUGUUAUAGGGUUGGGGUGGGGUGGGGGGUGGACAGGGUGUUCAGGGAGGUGAAACAGAUGGCUUUUAAACUUACAUCACAUCUAGAAGGAUUAAACUCCUUUGGGUCAUUGUAGAUGUCAGGAUCCAAGUGAACAAACCUAAACCAUACUAAAACUUUCCGUCCUCUUGGAAUAGUAUAUCCUGGAAACCAAGCGAGUCCAGUCCGUCAGCCACAAUGUGGUUUUACUGAAGCAAAAUGUAAGACGAACGAGAUUGUAACUUACCAUGUAUCGGAAGACUACAAGGGAGAAGGCAACAACACGAAGUGUUCCAUCGAUCACCUUCAAGAUUCAAGAUUACGGAUGAAUUUUGGUAGGUACAUGGAAUUGGCUGGAGAAAAAAAAACUACGCAUAGUGUUGAUAAUAAACAGAAAGUUACCUUUGACAGGUAGUCCAUUUGCCUAAUUUCUUUUAUUGUCACACCCUUCUGGUCAGUUGGCCUACUUUUUACAAUUGCCCCUUGCUCUGCCCAUUUUUAGAACAAAACAUGUUCUUGAGAAAUAACAAACUUUAAGGUGACUAUUUACUUUUUUGAAAUGAUGAAGUCUUGACUACCUUAGCUCUUUUAAAGACCUCGGGGUGUUUCUGCAGAACGAUAGUAACCCACAUUGUGAUGUGACCAGAAGAUUCAUGACCAGCAUUAAGGUACAUUAUUAGAACAUCAGAUUUCCUCAUCAUUCAGUUUUCUACCAUUCUCAUCUUCAACUUCCAACAGAAUAUUCAUAUCUCUUUCUUCUCUGUAGGCUCAUUUUGCUUCCUUCUCUCUUCUCUCAUCCGCGAUUGUUUGGAAGAUAGCCACAAGCUUUUUACGUGCCUGAAAUAUAUAUGCUUUCAAUUUUCUAGUAAAACAUAAUGUUGGAUGCUUUCAAUGUGAAAAGAGGACAUUUUCGUGUUUUUUCCAGAAAGAUUUAAGUUAUGUACAUUAACAAUGUAAAGAUUCUUUAUGUUAGAAAAUUUGGGAGAGCAAGACAACACAAAUGAACACUCAAAACUCACAAAGAAGAAAGUGGAGAAAAUGAUGAUUUCUAUUCAACUUGACUUGCUCUAAAUGGCUAGGAAUACAUGACUAUUUAUAGGAGAAAUCUUUCAUGUAUCUAGCCUACACUCAUGUAAACAUAAUAACUAAGUCCACAUCUCACAUCUUUCAAGGUACAUGGAUGAUACUACUAGAAAUUAUAUUUUUCAAAGUACAUCAAUGUGUUCAUACUCUAAUACAUGUACUAAAUUAAUAUUCUAGUUCAUGAACUUAUGCAAACAAAUGUAAACACAUGGAAAUAAGUUUAUAUUGUUCACAUUUCAACAUCCCCCCUAAACUUUUUUCAUCGCUCCAAGAGCCAUCCUUAGCUUUUGAAAGAGCUCAAUCUUCAACGGCUUGGUGAAAAUAUCCGCAAUUUUAUCUUGUGACUUCACGUGCUCAAGCUCCGUAACUUUAUUUUCAUGUCCUUCAACCUUGUAGCCAAAGAAUGAUCAAUGUAAACCUCUUCCUCCAAAACACCAUUCAAGAAAGCCGACUUCACAUCCAUUUGAUGAAAUUUUCAUUGAUUUUGAGCCGCCAAAGAAAUAAUAAAACGAAUUGUUUUGAAACGAGCAACCGGUGCAAAUACCUCAUCAUAGUCAAUACCGGCCUUUUGCUUGUAUCCCUUGGCAACCAAUCUUGGUUUGUACCUUUCCACCUUACCCUUGGAAUUUUUCUUUCACUUGUACACCCAUUUGAUUUCAAUGAUGCUUUUACCUUUUGGAAGUAUGGCUAAUUCCCAAGUAUCAUUCUUCUUGAUUGCCUUGAUUUCUUCUUCCAUAAUAUCUCUCCAUUUGACAUUUUGGGAAGCAUCUUCAUAAGUUAAAGGCUCAAUAUCCAUCAACAAACAAAAGUCAGUCAAAUCAUAUAAAUCUUUUCUUACCACUUUCGUAUUUUACUCAUGAAGACUUUUAGUUUUCUGAGGCACUUCACUUGAAGAACUUGAACUUAACUCAUCUUCUUCUUGAACUUGUGCUUGAGGUGUUGAAUGUGGUGUGAUAGGCUGCUCCGCAACUUCAUCAUCAUCUUCAUCAAAUAAAGGACUAAAAGAGUAGUCUUGCUCUUUAGUUUUCCAUUCAAAAGCAUUAUCUUCAUCAAACUCAACAUCUCUGCUUAUGGUGAUCUUGCAAUUUCUUGGGUUAUAUAAUUUAUAACUUUUAGAACUUUGAUCAUAACCAAUGAAAACAUACCUCACUUUUAUCAUCAAGCUUGGACUUCUUCUCAUCCGGCAUAUGUGCAUAGGCAAUGCUCCCAAAAACUCGCAAAUGACCAACUUUUGGCUUGAAACCGCUCCAAGCCUCUUGAGGUGUUUUGUCACGAUUACUCUUGGUGUGACACUGAUUUGACAAAUGCACUGCAUAUGCAACUGCUUCAGCCCAAAACUCCUUUGGCAUAUUUUUGCUCUUCAACAUACUCCGGGCCAUGUUGAGAAUAGUCCAUUUCUUUCUUUCCACGAUGCCAUUUUGUUGUGGUGAUCUUGGAACAGUCAAAAAGUGACGAAUUCCAUUAUUUUCACAAAAACCUUGAAUUCAUUUGAAGUGAAUUCUCCACUAUUAUCAGACCGCAAUGACUUAACUUGAUAGCCACUUUGUUUCUCCAUCAUGCUUUUGAAUUUUUUGAAAGUAUCAAACACCUCCGAUUUCACCUUCAAAAAAUACACCCAAGUUUUUCUAGAAAAAUCAUCAAUGAAAAGUAAAAAAUUACUUUUACCAAGUGAAGAUGACUUGAUUGGUCCGCACACAUCCAUGUGAAUCAAAUCCAAUGGGCAUAGUGCUUUAGUCAAAGACUCUUUAGGAAAGCUUUUUCUUUCUUGCUUUCCAAAGAGACAUCCUUCGCAAAUAUGGCUAGGAUGAUCAAUAGUUGGCAAUCCAUUCACCGUGCUUUCUUUCUUCAUCAACCUUAGACUAUCAAAAUUCACAUGACCAAAUCUCAUAUGUCAAAGCCAAGAUGAAUCUUUGGUACAUGAAAGCAAACACCUUGGAACAUCACAUUGAAGUUUCAAAACAAACAUUUUAUUAUUAGCCAUAGGAACUUUGACUAACAAUCUCCCAUUUUCAUCUCUCAGGAAUAACUUUUUAUCUUUCAAAUGAAUAUCAUUAUUUUUCUCCAAAAGUUGUCCCAAACAUAAAAUAUUACUUUUCAUCUCCGGUACAUACAAAACACUAAAAAUUAAUUGGUGACUACCAUCUUUCAAGCGAAUUAAAAUCGUACCUUUUCCUUUGAUUUUAACCCGCGAAGAGUCUCUAAAAGUUCAAUUCUUUUAGUUCUUCAAGCUCCCACAAAUAAAUUCUUCUUUCCACAAAUAUGGCUACUUGCACCGGAGUCAAGGUACCAUUGAUUUCUCUCUACACUUCUCUUUUGCAAGCGAGAACUAAAAUACCAUCUCCAUCUUCAUUUUUGCUCUCCAUAAUUUUUUUUUUCUCCACAUUAUUUUUACAUUCCUAGGAAAAUGAUCAAAUUUAUGACAAGUAUAAUACAAGCGGAUAUUAUGACAAGUAUAAUAUUCAAGCGGAAAAGUGAUCAAAUUUAUGACAAGUAUAGUAUUCAAAUUUCUUCUCUUUUGCAAGGGGAUACACCAAUUUCCAUAGUUCUCUUUUGUGAGCAUAGGAAUUUGAAAUGGAGUUCCAUUACUAUUUGUCAUUUUCUCUUCAAGUUUGGCUGUCUCUCAAACACACCGGCUCUGAUAUCACAAUGUUAGAAAAUUUGGGAGAGCAAGACAACAUAAAUGAAUGCUCAAAACCCACAAAGAAGAAAGUGGAGGAAAUGAUGAUUUCUAUUUAACUUGACUUGCUCCCAAUGGCUAGGAAUAUAUGGCUAUUUAUAGGAGAAAUCUUUUAUGUAUCUAGCCUAUCUAGCCUACACUACAUGUAAACAUAAUAACUAAGUCCACAUCUCACAUCUUUUAAGGUACAUGGAUGAUACUACUAGACAUUAUAUCUUCCAAAGUACAUCAAUGUGUUCAUACUCUAAAACAUGUACUAAAUUAAUAUUCUAGUUCAUGAACUAAUGUAAACACAUGAAAAUAAGUGAUAUUCGACUUAAUGUAUGCUUAUUUUGGUGUAUAUUUUCUCGCAUUAUGCUCAUGUCUCGUAGAUUUCGGAUGUAUAAUAUAAUGAUUUAUGCUAAUUUGUGAGAUUUCUAUGUGUAGGAAUCAUUCAGAUGCGAUUUGGGACGAAAGUGCGCGAAUUGCAGCGAAAAUGGGAAGAAAAGGCAGAAGUGCACAUUUGAGGGCUACUGGCAGCGUGGGGUAGGGGCGUUCAAAACCGAACCGAAACCGAAGCUUAAUGGCUUAUUGGUAUCGGGUUAACGGUUUAACGGACGGGGAACAGAUUGAAAUUUUUUUAUUAACGGCUUAUCGGUUUGAGGGCGGAUUAUUCAAUUUUCUUAACGGAUAAUCCGUUAACCCGUUAAGAAUAUAUAUAUAUAUUAAAUAUCAAAAACCCUUCCACUUCUUCCAGUGCUCUAUCUCUAAGUUCUAAUGCCUAAUUCCUAAAUAAUCAGAACUCUUACGUACUAUGCAUCAGAAGAUCCCAGGUUUGGCUUAGCUUAGCUUAUUCUCCCA
rnacentral:lncRNA from 1 species